CGACGUGAGGAACCUGCCUUGGAGUGGGGAAUAACAGUUAGAAAUAGCUGCUAAUACCGCAUAAUGCAGUUGGGUCGCAUGGCUCUGACUGCCAAAGAUUUAUCGCUCUGAGAUGGCCUCGCGUCUGAUUAGAUAGUUGGCGGGGUAACGGCCCACCAAGUCGACGAUCAGUAGCCGGACUGAGAGGUUGGCCGGCCACAUUGGGACUGAGACACGGCCCAGACUCCUACGGAAGGCAGCAG
rnacentral:rRNA from 1 species